UACGUAGGGGGCAAGCGUUGUCCGGAAUCACUGGGCGUAAAGCGCGUGUAGGCGGCCCACUAAGUCUGAUGUGAAAGCCCGGGGCUCACCCCCGGAAGUGCAUUGGAAACUGGUGGACUCGAGUCCCGGAGAGGAGAGUGGAAUUCCCGGUGUAGAGGUGAAAUUCGUAGAUAUCGGGAGGAACACCAGUGGCGAAGGCGGAGACCUGGGCCGAUACUGACGCUGAGGUGCGAAAGCGUGGGGAGCAAACAGG
rnacentral:rRNA from 1 species